UACGUAGGAGGCAAGCGUUGUCCGGAAUUACUGGGCGUAAAGGGCGCGUAGGCGGCCUGCUAAGUCGAACGUGAAAUCCCCGAGCUCAACUCGGGAACUGCGUCCGAUACUGACAGGCUUGAAUCCGGGAGAGGGAUGCGGAAUUCCAGGUGUAGCGGUGAAAUGCGUAGAUAUCUGGAGGAACACCGGUGGCGAAGGCGGCAUCCUGGACCGGCAUUGACGCGCUGAGGCGCGAAAGCGCUAGGGGAGCAAAAGCGGGAUUGAGAA
rnacentral:rRNA from 1 species